GAUCUUAGCUAGAUCUUCUGGAUAACUUGCUGCAGUUUUUUCAUCAGUGCUUCCUGCUUAACCUUGCACUUUUAUGUUACAGAGAUGUCUUCUUUGGAACCUUAUGAACCAAUCUCUGCUAGUGUCCAGCUUUUAUCCCGCAGCUUCCUCACCUCUCUCAGCCUUCAUAGAAUUUAAAAGUUAGGGCCUUGCUCUGGAUUAGGCUUGGGCUUAAGCAAAUGUAGUGACUGUUUUGAUCUGUCCAGAUCACUAAAACUUUCUCAAUAUCAGCAAUAAGGCAACUUUGCCUAUUUAUCAUUCUUGUGUUCACUGGAGUAGCACUUCUAAUUUUCUUCAAUAACUUUUUCUUUGCAUUCACAGCACGGCUAACCAACUCGUACAAGAGGUGUAAACUUUUGGCCUAGCUCAGCCUUCAACAUGGCUUUCUCACUAAACUUAAUCAUUUCCAGCUUUUGAUUUAAAGUGAGAUAUAUAUGACUUUUUCUUUGACUUGAACUCUUAGAGACUAUAUAAUAUGGUUGUUAUUUGGCCUAAUUUUAUUAUUGGUGUGUGGCAGGAGAGACACACACCAAUAUGUGAGGGAGAGAGAUGAGGAAAUGGACAGCUGGUGGAGCAGUCAGAACUCACACAUUUAUUAAGUUUGCUGUCUUAUAUUGGCACAAUUGCUGGCAUUCACCCGUGCAAGCAUCUAGUGUUCCUUUUUAUGUCUGCAGCUUGAUUUUACAGGCUGCUCUUUGUUAGAAAAGAAAAUGAUUUGGGGGCUGCUUUUCAUUAAAGGAAAACCUUACUGAGGGUUUCUUUGCCCUCACUAUCUGCCUAAAUAAUUUCUUUUUAACAUCCUCUAGUGCUAUGGGAGAGAUUUCUUCUUUUCUUUCUUUUUUAGAGACAGUUUUGCUCUAUCACCAAGGCUGGAUUGCACUGGCAUGAUCUUGGCUCACUGCAUCCUCCACUUCCCGGGUUCAAGCAAUUCUCUGCCUCAGCAUCCCAAGUAGCAGGGAUUACAGGCGCCUGCCACCACACCUGGCUAAUUUUUGUGUUUAUAUUAGACACAGGGUUUCACCAUCUUAGCCAGGCUGGUCUUGAAUUCCUGACCUUGUGAUCCACU
rnacentral:lncRNA from 1 species